CUCACCCCAGAUCUAAAGUCCCUACACUGGCUUCCUGUAGCUCAGACUGGACAACUGCUGUUUAUAAAUCACUGAACGGCUUAGCAUCACGAUACAUUAAAGGUCUGCUGUUGUUUAAUCAACCCUCCAGAACCUCCAGGUCUUCUGGUUCUGGGGAAGAAGGGCAGAA